rnacentral:rRNA from 1 species
GAUGAACGCUGGCGGCGUGCCUAACACAUGCAAGUCGAACGGAAAGGCCCGGCUCUUGUGGGUUUGUCGAUUGGCGCACGGGUGAGAAACACGCGUGGAACCCCUCCCUUUCUUUCGGAUAAAUCCACGAAACUGCGGCUAAUAUCCGAUAGGAUCUCUUGCACCACGGUGGGCGAUGGUAAGUUUCGGCGGUUGGGGAUGGACUCGCGGCUUACCAGCUUGUUGGUGGGGUAGUGGCUUACCACGGCUUUGACGGGUAGCCGGCCUGAGAGGGUGACCGGCCACAUUGGGACUGAGAUACGGCCCAGACUCCUACGGGAGGCAACAGUGGGGAAUAUUGCACAAUGGGCGGAAGCCUGAUGCAGCAACGCCGCGUGCGGAAUGACGGCCUUCGGGUUAUAAACCGCUUUCGCCUGUGACGAAGCGUGAGUGACGGUAAUGGGUAAAGAAGCACCGGCUAACUACGUG